GAAAUCAUAUUUUUGGUGGAUGAUGUACCAAUAAGGAGGUAUGCAAGGAGAAGUGAUGCAACAUUUCCAUUGAGGCCAAUGUGGUUAUAUGGAUCCAUAUGGGAUGCAUCUUCAUGGGCUACUGAGAAUGGAAAAUACAAAGCUGAUUAUAACUACCAACCAUUCUAUGGAAAAUUCACGAAUUUCAAGGCGAGUGGUUGCACCGCCUACUCGUCUCGAUGGUGUCGACCUGUGUCUGCCUCGCCCUAUAGAUCCGGUGGCCUUAGCAGGCAACAACGUCAGGCCAUGAAUUGGGUUCGAAGUCACUAUAUGGUGUACGAUUAUUGCAGGGACUUUAAAAGAGAUCACUCCCUUACACCAGAAUGUUGGCGCAAGUGAAACAAUUUUCUUAUUUGUAUCUUAUAUUCAUCGGAUGAACAUAACUAAGCGAUUUGUUGAAGCUGUGGGAUGUAUCGAUGGUACACGUGUCAAUCUUUUAUAGGAUGAAUUUCCUAUUUUGUGUGAACUACU
rnacentral:misc_RNA from 1 species